AUGGAGACUGCCAGCUCCCUCGCGUUCAAGAGAAGAACCUACGGCCUCUGUUUUUGCUGCUUGGCGCCGGAGCAUCUCGUCGCUGAUUGUCGCGGUCCUGUCAGAUGCCUGGCAUGUGGCCUCCCAGGCCAUCGUGAACGUGGUUGUCCCUCGCGCCAGCCAAUAGUGGAAGGUCGCCGCCUCCGUCCUCGCUCGCCUACGGCUUCACCGUGUCAUUCGAGGGACCUGCCGGGCUGCCAGGCUCCUCGCCACUUCAGCAGCUCGACUCAUGGAUCUCCACAUCCGCAUCGACGCACCUGGGCCUCGGUUGUUGCCCCUCCGGCGGUGGAGAAUCCCAGCGAUUCUGUUGUUGCUGAUUUGGGAUUGCUUGAACCUCUCCUUGCUGCUCAGAUGGAAGUGUUGCGCUCCGAGAUGCAGGCCUUGACCGUCUCACGUUUGGAGGAGGUGGUCCGACCCCUUCAUGACAUGAUGACUGCUUUGGAGGGGUGGACGACUCUACUUUGGGAUACUUGGAGCGAAUGGAGGUUGUUGUUGGCCAGCUGGGCUACUCGCCGGCCUCGCCACAGUCGUCUGAGAUGCAUGUUGCAGGUUCUGUUGGGAAUGUUGCUGGUGUUGAGGAUUUUAUCGAGAGUGAUGUGGCUAGCUGCUCGUCUGAGGUCCUAG
rnacentral:rRNA from 1 species